AUUGAACGCUGGCGGCAUGCCUUACACAUGCAAGUCGAACGGCAGCGCGGGUGCUUGCACCUGGUGGCGAGUGGCGAACGGGUGAGUAAUGCAUCGGAACGUACCCUGGAGUGGGGGAUAACUAUCCGAAAGGAUAGCUAAUACCGCAUAUUCUAUGAGUAGGAAAGCGGGGGAUCUUCGGACCUCGCGCUCUGGGAGCGGCCGAUGUCAGAUUAGCUAGUUGGUGGGGUAAAGGCCUACCAAGGCUACGAUCUGUAGCGGGUCUGAGAGGAUGAUCCGCCACACUGGGACUGAGACACGGCCCAGACUCCUACGGGAGGCAGCAGUGGGGAAUUUUGGACAAUGGGGGCAACCCUGAUCCAGCCAUGCCGCGUGAGUGAAGAAGGCCUUCGGGUUGUAAAGCUCUUUCGGCCGGGAAGAAAUCGCCAUCUCUAAUAUAGGUGGUGGAUGACGGUACCGGAAUAAGAAGCACCGGCUAACUACGUGCCAGCAGCCGCCGUAAUAC
rnacentral:rRNA from 1 species